AUUCCUUCCUGCCACAAUCAACAUUACACCACGGAAAGGCCGAAGCAUAUUUUUAAAAGCUAAUGUUGAGAUGGAACACAGUCCCCUGACAGCUUUACCUCGACUAUAGCCUCUUCUCUAGACUUGGUAGAAAUUGUCACCCACUGGACUGUUGUCCCUUUUAGCUCACCUCCCCUGUUCUGUCUGUGACCAGAGGUGUCCACUCUUUUACCUAAGCCUGCGGGGCAGUUGUGAGGAGAAGUGAAAUUACAAUAGAUUCACGGCAUUGGAGGUAGAGGCUCAAGAUCCCUCUUCCUGAAAGAGACCUCGUUACCCAGCUGUAUGACGAGGUCACGGGUCAGUCUGUCUGUUCUUGGUGGUGGUUCUCGAUGCCCCAGAGACCGACAUCAAGACCUCUCUGCCCCUGUACGUGUGUCACCCCCCACGUGACUGUGUGUGGCUAUAAAAGUUUAUCUCCUAAGCUGGUCGUAUGACACCUGCCUUCCAGCUAGUCCUCUAGAUGUGCAUUUAUUCUGCAAAUAGCAGAUCUCCCGCGCUCCGGAGGUGUUUCUGUUGUGUCUCUGGGAAAUGGGCCCUGAGUUCCAGUUCUGUACCAGGAUUCGUGAGCACUUCUUUCCCUGGCUGCGAGAUACUUCGUCUUUUCUCAUUCUCAGAUAACACUACUUUUGACCAUUGUGCUGCUCAACAACAGUGCCCCUGGAACUAGAUGAUAGGAAUCUUUACCCCCCCCCCCAAAUAAAAAUUGGCAGUGUGCCCUUGUGAUCAUGUGUCAUACUUGGCAUAUGUUGGUCUAGAAACAACUUGAUGAUUUGCUCACUGCUGCAGACUCUGCCCAACAUCACACAGCAAACGGAGUCUUGAAAUUUGAGUGUGGGUUGAAUGUUCAUAAAUAAAUUGCGUUUCCCUUUAUCUUACAUUUAAUUAAAGAGGUGAUGUGCUUUCUGAUUACCCUGUAUUUGGCAGGGGUAGCUAUUCCUUUAACUCUGUUUUCCUGCCCUAUAGCUUCCUUCUCCAGUAGUUAAUCACCAGCAUCCUUAGACUAACACUAAGUUACUAGAGGGUGAUGCGGUUUAAAAAAAAAAAAAAAAAAAAAGUCAGUGAGCAGGAAAGGAUUAUGGCACAAAUCAUUUGCUCCCUAGUUCCUUUGGAUAGAAAGGUCAGUUUUCUCACUUUGAGUUUUCAUAAAACUGGGCAAAUUAACAGUCCCCCCUGUCCAAUAUGUCAACAACCUGUUAUAUUUGAAAUUACUCUUUAAAAUGAGGUGUAAAACUGCACUACACUUCCUCCCUGUCAGUUAAUUGACUUGCUACCCUCCUGCCAAGAUGUGUCCAUUUUAAAAAUGAUUGCUUUAAAUAUUCAUCGAAAAGCAUAUAGCAAAUUAUACUCUGGCAGAGACACAAAGGCUAAUAUUUGGAGCUGAGCGCUCAUUCACUCAGGGUUUAUCACACUGAAGGCAGAACGAGUGCAGCUGGUUUUCUCUCAGAGAAAUGUUUCCUUGGGCAAAGAGUUGUUGGUCUUAGUUCUGUGUGGUCCCCCACUAUACACAUUGUGGCGAUAUGUUUACAUAAAGCAGUAGUCAUCAUGGGGCCCCCUCAGCAAUAUCAGCGUAUCACAUGAUCCCCUCACCUGAAGACUGGGUUGGGUGAGGCCCCAGGCUAUAGAAAAUCCUAACUAAGUCUCAAUUCUGCGGUUAUAAGAGACCGCGAGGGGGUCCCUGGUCUCUUCCCAGCAUGUCACCCUCUGCCGAAGGCUCACGCCUAAACAGCGCAAGUAGGAAACACUCUCUCCCCACCCGAUCCCCCCAACUGCAGGAGAGAGCCGUGGGUGAUGACACCAAAACCCAGGUCAGGUUGCUGAGUUCCGGGGCCAGGUCAUCCCAAAUCACUGUUUCCCUAACUUUAGAAGGAGGGGGUUGGCCGUGGAUGCAUUCUUAAUACAUUCUUUGAUUUCCAAAGGAGAACAACGAGUUUUCAUCAUCUCUCUUAGUAAGUCUUUCACAUCUUGAAAUGAUGAUGCUGGACCAGUACUCAAGAUUGUUGUUGAGGAGUUCCCAUUGUGGUGCAGCGGAAACAAAUCCGACUAGGAACCACGAGGUGUCGGGUUCGAUCCCUGGCCUCGCUCAGUGGGUUAAGGAUCCGGUGUUGC